AUGUCGCUUCGUUUCACGAGCGCAAGGACUGGACUGGGCGACAGAAAGAGGCUGGCGGCGACGGCGCUGGCCUCCAGGAUGAGCCCUAGAUGGCUAGACGCGCGGCCGGCAGGGAGCCGACGCGAGGCUCCCAGGCAGUCUACUAGACCGGCAGUCAAUAUCCCUCUCUUUCGGCUUAGGCUUCAGCUACCUUGGGCUCCACAAAAGUUGUGGCUCCGCCACUGGAUGACACCGAGACGGACGUGCAGCCGAGGCGGCGUCAAGACCUGUAGGCCGAAUGUGUGUAUGGCGGUGGUUGUCAUGCCGACAUGCAGCGGAAGUGGUUGUGCAUGUAUAGUGAGCUAUGGCCGGCGGCGGCGCGCGACAACACAAAGAAGCAAGGGUACACUAGGCAAGGAAGAAGAAGAAGCACUUAGGGAAUCACUGGUCAUAAUCCAUGCACUGAGAAAAGAGCAAUUUGCAUACAAUGCAAGGACAAUGCAUGCAUCAAGUAAAGAUGAGAUAAGGAUGGCGCCCACCAUCAUCAUAAAGUGCGCACCUCCCACCUUCACCUUAUCCGCCGCCACGACGCUGCCCAUCUAUGCCGCCGCCGGGCCAGCUCAGCCUGCACCUCUGCGCCGCCUAGUCCCCCCCGCCAAUCUCCACCGCGGCGGGCUGCCAUUCCUCCGAUUAUGGCGCCGCCGUGCUAGCACCUCCUGCAUCCGGCAAGGAGAAGGGAUCAGGGGCGCCACCGUCGGCAAUGUUGUACAUGCGUGGGGUUCAGUAAUUUCAGCAACGUCGCCGCUAGAGGAUGAGUUUGGGUUCAUUCUUGUGAACAAGUCUCGGGAAAUACACACAGGAGAUCAGUUAGAGGAUGAUCCUUUUGUAUUUUCUUCCCAAGUGCAGCAGGUUUUCUAUGUUCAAGAUCCAAAAGCUGAAUUAUGGAAUGUAGUAGUGGAAGUCAGGCCUCGUGACCUUUUUGACAUGGGUGAUGAAGAAUCAUCAGAUGAAACAGAUUAG
rnacentral:rRNA from 1 species